rnacentral:rRNA from 1 species
CCCAGACAGCCAGGAUGUUGGCUUAGAAGCAGCCAUCAUUUAAAGAAAGCGUAAUAGCUCACUGGUCGAGUCGGCCUGCGCGGAAGAUGUAACGGGGCUAAACCAUGCACCGAAGCUGCGGCAGCGACACUCAGGUGUUGUUGGGUAGGGGAGCGUUCUGUAAGCCUGUGAAGGUGGCCUGUGAGGGUUGCUGGAGGUAUCAGAAGUGCGAAUGCUGACAUAAGUAACGAUAAAGCGGGUGAAAAGCCCGCUCGCCGGAAGACCAAGGGUUCCUGUCCAACGUUAAUCGGGGCAGGGUGAGUCGACCCCUAAGGCGAGGCCGAAAGGCGUAGUCGAUGGGAAACGGGUUAAUAUUCCCGUACUUGGUGUUACUGCGAAGGGGGGACGGAGAAGGCUAUGUUGGCCGGGCGACGGUUGUCCCGGUUUAAGCGUGUAGGUGUGUGUUCCAGGUAAAUCCGGUUCACUUUAACACUGAGGCGUGAUGACGAGGCACUACGGUGCUGAAGCAACAAAUGCCCUGCUUCCAGGAAAAGCCUCUAAGCAUCAGGUAACAUCAAAUCGUACCCCAAACCGACACAGGUGGUCAGGUAGAGAAUACCAAGGCGCUUGAGAGAACUCGGGUGAAGGAACUAGGCAAAAUGGUGCCGUAACUUCGGGAGAAGGCACGCUGACACGUAGGUGAAGUGAUUUACUCAUGGAGCUGAAGUCAGUCGAAGAUACCAGCUGGCUGCAACUGUUUAUUAAAAACACAGCACUGUGCAAACACGAAAGUGGACGUAUACGGUGUGACGCCUGCCCGGUGCCGGAAGGUUAAUUGAUGGGGUCAGCGCAAGCGAAGCUCCUGAUCGAAGCCCCGGUAAACGGCGGCCGUAACUAUAACGGUCCUAAGGUAGCGAAAUUCCUUGUCGGGUAAGUUCCGACCUGCACGAAUGGCGUAAUGAUGGCCAGGCUGUCUCCACCCGAGACUCAGUGAAAUUGAACUCGCUGUGAAGAUGCAGUGUACCCGCGGCAAGACGGAAAGACCCCGUGAACCUUUACUAUAGCUUGACACUGAACAUUGAGCCUUGAUGUGUAGGAUAGGUGGGAGGCUUUGAAGUGUGGACGCCAGUCUGCAUGGAGCCGACCUUGAAAUACCACCCUUUAAUGUUUGAUGUUCUAACGUGGACCCGUAAUCCGGGUUGCGGACAGUGUCUGGUGGGUAGUUUGACUGGGGCGGUCUCCUCCUAAAGAGUAACGGAGGAGCACGAAGGUUGGCUAAUCCUGGUCGGACAUCAGGAGGUUAGUGCAAUGGCAUAAGC